AAAUAACUAAAUCAAGUUUUGCUAUAAUUGCUUUCGAUUGGAAUAGCAUUGGGAUAUAAUAUUUAACGGUAGGAAUUUCAGCCAGUAGGCUAACUUCAUAACACAAUAGAAAAGAACGAAAUUGCACUUCAAACACACAAUAAUCGUAAAUAAUGCUGUUGGCCUGGUAUGAUGCAAAGUGCGGACUGUUACCUCCCAUUGGGUGUGGUUUACUUUAUAAUAGCCCAUCAUGACUCUGCAUUUUAUUCAGCUCAUUAUUGACGGACUGAAAGUUUACAGCUCAUCAAAAGCCUUGUCCAAAAAUCCGCAGAAACAUGACUAACGUCUCCGUUGAAUAUUGUGCAGGAUGAGGUUAUUCCCGCCGCUUCCAGGAACUAGCCCGUGUCGUCCGGAAGGUUCCUGGGGUUAAUGUGACGGGAAAAACAGGGAGGCAAGGCAGCUUUGAGGUGUCAGUGAAUGAUAAGCUGGUCUACUCCAAGCUUAAGACGGGAUCCUUUCCUAAUCCUGAUGAGGUGGUGGAAUUGGUGAAGAAGAACAUGGGCCAAGGAGGAAAAGCUGGGAAGACCACUAUGUUUUAGAAGAUGGAGGCUAAAACAACAGCUGUAUUCACACUGGAAGAACAAUGGUCUGUUUUUUUAUGGCUGCUUAUCUGAAUACAAAAUUGACUUCAAACAUAAAUUUAGUUUUAACAUAAUUAUGGCCCAAAAGCAAAAUUCCUUAAAGUCUCACUGUCAUCCAUGAGAAGAUCUGACCAUAUAUCUUCACUGUGAAUACAGACAAAGAUGAGAAGAUGAUGAGAGCAACUCUCAGGAGCCAGGCACUGAUCUGCUCUUCUGUUUAUGAAUGUACACACUAAAAAUGAUGUAGUGGGUACACGAUGUCUAGAAGCUUUUCAGCUGACUGGAGCCUGAUGAACUACUUUCAUCAUGUCCGUCUGGCAUUUAAUCACAAAUAAAACGUCUUAGAGCUGCAUUUAUUCAGGAAUAGAACAAUUAAGAAAUAUAACUCUUCACCUAGACACAUAUAUAUUUUCCAUGAUUACUUGUUCUCUGUUUGGACUCCAAAAGUGUAAGGUCCGGAAGAUAAUUAGGCACACAUUUUUAAGAAUAGUUUGGCAUUUUUGGACAUAUGCUUCUUCGCUUUCUUGCCAAGAGUUGGCUAGAAAAGAUCGAUACCACUCUUACGUUUGCACGAUGAAUAUGGAGCUAUCGUCAGCUUAGCAUAAAGACUGGAAACAUAGGGGGAAACAGCUAUCCUGGCUCUGUCCUGUCAACACAGUCCAUCAACCAGCACCUUUCAAGCUCACUAAUUAACUUGUUAUUUCUAGUUUGUUUAAUCUGUACAAAAACCAGAGCGUAAAAAUGGCAGCAUACAUUGACUGGGGGUUAUGUGCUGGACUAUUUCUUGGCUUGGACCAGUAACUUCCUGGAAUCUCCACUACUGGUCCAGGCUAAGAAAUAGUCCGGUACAUAACCUCUCUGUAAAAUGUUGAAUUGUAAUUCUUAUACUUAUGGUUUUUGUACAGAUCAAACAAGACAUACAGUAGCAUGUUAAUUAGUCUGCUUUAGGUUCUAGGCGGGUUCUGUUAUCUCUGGACAUAGCCAGGCUAGCUGUUCCCCCAGUUUCCAGUCUUUAUGCUAAGCUAAACUAACCAGCUACCGGUUGUAGCUGUGUAUUUACCAUCCAGACGUUAGAUUGGUAUGCGAUCAAUCAUCUCAACCAACUCUGUGCAAGAAAGGAAAUAAGCGCCUUUCCAAAAAUGUUGAACUACUUUUUUAAUUUUUGGAUGAUCAGACAUAAUGUGAUACUAAUUUCCCCCCUGAUUUGGAAAGAUAUAUUGAGCUUUUAAUUUUUUCAAAGCACUUUCCAUCAACAUUAAGGUGUUCAUACAACUAUCAAUGUCUGUAUUUUAAGAUUGAAAUGUAAACUCUUAAAUACUUCAUGAACACAGACUCAUUCUUUUUUAACUGCUCUAUUUAAUAUCCAUACCUGCCAUACAAGUCUUAUCUUUUUAAAUAUAUAAACAGACAAUCACCUGGAUGGUGUUUUGCUAGGCACUGCCAUCUCUGUUACUAUCAUAGCGUUAUAGCAACUAAGAUAAACAUUAAAUCCAUGACAAAUGCUACAUAUAAGAUACAGCUUUUUUAUGUUGUUAUAAUGCUGUCUAAUUUGUGAUCAAUUCCAACAAAACAGCUUUUCCUAAAAUGCAAUAAAAUAUCACU